rnacentral:rRNA from 1 species
CCCUUAGACACUCUAGGCGGCACGCGCGCUACAAUGGGCGGAAGAACGUGUUACUGCCUCCGAAAGGAGGGGUGAAUCACGAAUUCUUGCCCGUGAAUGGGAUAGUUUGUUGCAAUUUUCGGACUUGAACUAGGAAUCCCUUGUAAACAUGCUCAAGAAUAGCGUGUUGAAUACGUCCCUGCCGUUUGUACACACCGCCCGUCGUUUCUUCCGACUGAUACUCAUUGUGAGUUGCAAGGACCCUUUAUUGGGAAAUUGCUGCAAAUGCUUUGUAUUGGAGGAAGAAAAAGUCGUAACA